rnacentral:lncRNA from 1 species
UACGCGCCGGCGCCUGCGAGCACGACGAGCGCGACGAACGCCGAGAACGCGACAGCGAGGAUGAGCGAGGUCCGGUUCCUGCCGCUCUUGAUCCGCGGCAGCGACGAAAGCGACGCGAGGUCCAGCGCCGGCGCGGCGCCGCCGCCGAGGCUGAAGCUCCAUCCCCUGACGUAGUGCGAGCUGGCGUGGACCCCGUGGACGCCGAGAAGCCGACGUACAUCUGCUCGCGGAAGACCCCCGACAGGUCGACGCGGAAGGAGAUGAGCGGCGCGGCGGGCUUCCCGGCCGUACCGUUCGCGAUCGAGACAUUCAGCACCCCGGCGGCGCCAUCGUAGUCGAUCCAGGCCGUGGUAUCCCCGGCCUUGAGGUUGAGCGGGUCAGCCUUGGCACUCUUGUAUUUUUUAGUGCUAAUUGUCUACAGCUAUCUUACGUGAUCAAUUUUGUUCUGAUUUUCUGAACUUGGAUUCAGUUGUGUGCUGACAAACCUUGUAGGAAUUAGAGCAGCAAGAACAAGAGGAAGAAGAGAGACACACUAGAUGUAUAGAAAUUGAAAUCUUAUUUUUUGGAUGCAUAGAAAUUGAAAUCUUAUUUUUUUUAUAAAUAGAAAUAAACUUCUUUUCAUCCAAGCUGUGACUUUUCUAUGUUUAUCUUUAAUAUAGUGUGAAUAAAAUUAAAAUUAUUUUUGGGUACAUAGAAAUUGAAAUCUUAAUUCUUGGAUGCAUCGGAAUUUUUGGGUCCAUAGAAAUUGAAAUCUUUGGUAUGUUUCUAUGUCUUUCUUACUAUUGCCCUGAAGCUUCUCUAGAUCGAGUGCCUAGCAGGCUAUUCCUGCUUCCACACUGCCUCACAUGCUGCAAGCCACUCAAACCACUGCAAGAUUUGUAUUUCAUGAUUUUUUAAUCUGUUCAAGGCACUUCAAGAUCUUUAUGCAAUUUUAGAGAUGGCUCGCAAAUACAAAUUGGUAAUUAGAUUAUUUGUGGGGAUGCCGGCCACUAGUUCUAGAAAUUUAUCUUUUUUUUUUUACUUUUCUUUGGUUACUAUGCUUUGCAUGCAUAAUUUUCUAUGCAUGGUGAAAGUGUGUUUUCAGACUUGAUUAGAAUAAAAAAGUAUAUGUCUAUGCAUGAAUUUUUAUAUAGAAGUUGUUCGUUAUACCUGAGUAAAAUGUCAAAUUUGUACUUAUUAUGUUUAUAUGCAUCUGCUCGGCGACUUUUGGGGGGGGGGGGGGGGCAUGUUAGGCUUGUUCCUGGGUUUAUGCAUGAAUUGGUUCUAUACUUGAUGACUUAGGUUUUUACGCGUUCAGUUCACAUGUGUGAUAUGUGAUUACGGCUGUAACAAACCUUUAGGCUUGAACGAUGUUAGUCCAUACCCCAACCUAACCGUGGUUGUCAUACGAUCCUUUUAUAUUACCAAAUGUAUAUCCUUAAAUGUUUUAUAAACUGAUUUUUUUUCACCUGCCUUUUCGCAUGACCACAUAUGUUGUCAAUCCAAACAUUUCUCAUAUUGACACAUGACCACCUCGACAUUUCAUAGUGUAUGUAUAUAUCUUUUUAUAUUCGCCAUGCCUAUACUCUUUUCAAUUUUUAGCAACACCUAACAACGGUGCUGAAGAAAAUUUUUAUGCAUAUACAUACAAAUUCCUAUGCAUCCUGAGUAUUCUAUCCUAAGAAGAAUUUCUAUGUAACGCAUCAUGAUCAACACGGAUAGCGCAUUCCAUCAUGAGCAGAAGGUGGCUAGAGAAAAUUUUUAUGUAUAUAUAUACAAAAUUUAUGUUUCACAGCAUGCAUACAAAAGUUUCUAUGCAUAUUUUAAGAUGACUUGAAUGCAGGUUCUAUGCGUCAUGAUGAGAAACAAGCUAGGCCUGAUCCAGUAGAGGCACGGGGUGUGGACCUGCCGAAGUACACAUUGCAUGCUUGUAUGUAUUGGUAUGUAUUCUAUAUAUUGUUGGAACGGAUUUCUAUACAGUAUUGGAGCACAGUUCUAUAAUUUGUUGGAACAGCUAUUUGUGCAGCUAUUUCCGGAUGGAUGAUAGUUUAUAGCCAUGAUUUUCUCUUAGCUACACUUUCAGCCAUGAUUUUUUUCAUUAAUCCAAAGACAUUAAUUUCACAAAUAGGUUUUCUAUCAUGAUAUUUCAUGACAGAAGCCAGUGCUCCUCUAUUAAUUAUACCCCAUGUUAAUUUCUAGUAUGCUCCACUAUGUUAAUUUCUAUGCAUUGUUAAUUUUCUAUACAUUGUUAAUUUUCUUAGUGAAAUUGAUUUCCUACGUAUCAUUAAUUUCUUGUAUGCUCCUCCAUGUUAAUUUCCAUGCUUCAUGUGUGAUGGAUGGUGUUUCUUGCAGCUAUAAGGUUUUUGCGCAUACUAAAACAUGUUUCUAUGCCUUUCUUUGCCACCGUAAGUUUUUUACGUCUGCUCAAAUAUGUUUCUAUGUCUUUGUUGUGGUGUAGGAUGGUUGGAAGGAUUCCUCUAUUUUUGGUGUGAGGUCAAUGGUGGCUCGGACAUCAUAGGACAUGACUUGCGACGUUUACAACUUCCUUGAGUUUGUGAUGGUGGCGUAGUGUGAUAUUCGAUAUAGUUGAUGGAUUAAUGUAAAAAGUUAGUUUUUCAUAUGUUGUGUUUAUAUGCUUGGAUAAUAUGAGCGAAAGUAUUGAUUUCUAUGUAACCUCUGUUGGGUUUCAAUAUUUUGGUUAACUGAGUGUCUAUGCAUGUUGUGAGUUGGGAACAUUAUGGAUAGUCCACACUAGUAUGUAGUGUUUUGUAUGUUUCAUUUCCUAAAAGGAAGUAUGGUGUAAAGUUUCUAUACAUUGUUGCUCUAUUAAAUUAACAUAUCCUCGUGCAAAGAACGGUGUGGGUAUGGGUAGUGAUGGUCUUAGUUGUAAUAGACCCCCAUAGCAGGAAGCAUGAUGUUGUUAUAGACAAUCAUGGUUGUGUCAGGUGGAAUGUCCAUCUCAUGUAGAGGUUUUUACGCAGCAAUGAAUUUAAUUUUUAUUCAUUGAACUACUAAUUUGUAUGCAACGUGGCACUAAAAACCUUUAUGCGCAUCUUGACUAUUGAUUCUAUGUACCUACUAA